GAUGAACGCUGGCGGCGUGCCUAAUACAUGCAAGUCGAGCGAAUAGACGAGGAGCUUGCUCCUUCGACGUUAGCGGCGGACGGGUGAGUAACACGUAGGUAACCUACCUAUAAGACUGGGAUAACUUCGGGAAACCGGAGCUAAUACCGGAUAAUAUUUCGAACCGCAUGGUUCGAUAGUGAAAGAUGGCUUUGCUAUCACUUAUAGAUGGACCUGCGCCGUAUUAGCUAGUUGGUAAGGUAACGGCUUACCAAGGCAACGAUACGUAGCCGACCUGAGAGGGUGAUCGGCCACACUGGAACUGAGACACGGUCCAGACUCCUACGGGAGGCAGCAGUAGGGAAUCUUCCGCAAUGGGCGAAGGCCUGACGGAGCAACGCCGCGUGAGUGAUGAAGGUCUUCGGAUCGUAAAACUCUGUUAUUAGGGAAGAACAAACGUGUAAGUAACUGUGCACGUCUUGACGGUACCUAAUCAGAAAGCCACGGCUAACUACGUG
rnacentral:rRNA from 1 species